rnacentral:rRNA from 1 species
GUGGGGAAUCUUCCGCAAUGGACGAAAGUCUGACGGAGCAACGCCGCGUGAGUGAAGAAGGUUUUCGGAUCGUAAAGCUCUGUUGUUUGAGACGAAUGUGCAGACUUUGAAUAAGGGUUUGUAAUGACGGUAUUAAACGAGAAAGCCACGGCUAACUACGUGCCAGCAGCCGCGGUAAUACGUAGGUGGCAAGCGUUGUCCGGAAUUAUUGGGCGUAAAGGGAGCGCAGGUGGGAAUGUAAGUCAGUCUUAAAAGUGCGGGGCUCAACCCCGUGAGGGGAUUGAAACUACAUUUCUUGAGUGCAGGAGAGGAAAGUGGAAUUCCUAGUGUAGCGGUGAAAUGCGUAGAGAUUAGGAGGAACACCAGUGGCGAAGGCGACUUUCUGGACUGUAACUGACACUGAGGCUCGAAAGCCAGGGGAGCGAACGGGAUUAGAUACCCGUGUAGUCC